rnacentral:tRNA from 1 species
GGAGAAUUAAGCCGAAAGAUUCUGGGUAGCGGCAGCGCUCUUGAAAAGCGAAGGUUUACGAAAGUAGACGUGGGGGUUCGAAUCCGUCAUUCUCCGCCA